ensembl:lncRNA
GGGGCGUCCGUCGGGAUGACGCGCUCAGUAGCUCAGGCUCGAUCUCGGGCGCGGUUGUCGUUCACGUCAGCACCUCCACGUGCACUUUGGAGUAAGAAAACAGUCCCCCGCCGUCCGUUGCUCUGACCUCAAUCUCGUGGUAUUGCGCUUCUUCGAAAUCCAGGUUUCCUGUUAGACGGAUCUCCCCAGUCUCAGAGUCCAAGUCAAAGAGCUGUCGGGAACCCUCUGUUAUCUGUGAGAUAGUGUAAAGCAUUUUGCCGUUGGAGCCUUCGUCGGGAUCCGUGGCCGACACCCGGACCACCAGCUGCCCCGGGGGGCUGUUCUCGGCACUGCACCGUCGUAACCUCCGCGAGACACCGGCAUGUGUCGUUGGCAUCCAGCACCACCACCGUGAACGAGCCGUGCCCGACCUGGGCGGCGAGCCCCCGUCCGUGGCUGUGAGCACCAAAUGCAGCUCGGCUGCUCCUCCCUGUCCAACUGCCUGUCUACUACGAGUUUGACAUAUUUUGCACCACACCUCUCCCUUUCUUCUAAAGAAAGGGGAGAAAUGGGAGUUCGGGGAGAGACUGUAAUUCUGUAAGCCGUUAAUACCCACGUCUUAUCCCGUGCCGCUUCUAAGGGGAAACGAGACCCUGUGGAUGCCGUUUCGGGUAUCUCCAGAACCAUCUCCUUCUGCGGAAACACAGGGGAGUUGUCGUUCACGUCCCGAAACCUCCACCUCCCCGCGGAUCAGCUGCACCGGGUUCUCAAAGAACAGCUUAAAGAAGAGCGCGCAGCUCUCGCUGUGCGGACAGAUCCGCUCUCGGUCCAGCGUCUCCGUCACCGUCAGGACGCCGCUGUGCGGAUCCAGGCGGAAAUGCUGCUCGCUCCCCUCGGACACCACGCGCGCCUUGCGAGCCGCCAGCUGGCUCGGAGAAAGCCCCAGGGUUUUUUUCCCCCUGUCGGCCGUGGCCCACCAACGACUUCCCUCGCCAUUUCCUCCGCCAGGAAUAGCGCCAGCGUUCGGCCCGCUUCUUCCCACACGCAAACGCACACCAGCCACAGCAGCACUUGCCUCUCGCCGCCGCCGCCGCCGCUCCGGCUCCGCGCGCGCGUCCCUCUCCGCCACAGCCGGCCUUUCCCAGCGGCCCCAUCGCUCGGCACCUUUUCGCCGGACCCCGACGCUCGGCACCCAAAAGCCCAAAGCCUUUGCCAGCAGCUCGGCCCAAAGCCCCCGAGCGCCCGGCUCCGUGCCCCGCCGCCCUUCCCGAGCAGCUCGCACGGCUCUCUGGGCGCCUGCGCCUGAAAGCGCUGCGGGCAGAAGGAGCUUCGCCGCCUCCGUUGGCCAACAUUUCCCCACCAGCGGCACAAACAGGAAUCGCUCCUGUGUCUUUGCUUCUGCGAUCUCCUUACCUCUUCCAGUCGUUAACCAUAAGGCUCCGGUUAAAUAGUCCAUUCUUUUGAGGAAUGGCAAAAUGUUUUCCUAAGUGUUUUUCCAUUCGUUCCGUAGUGGUGUUUUCCAUUUCCCCUUCCCUUUUAUUUAUCCACGCAGGACCUUCAGGAACUUGAACAGAUGGGGGAAUCACAGAUGUGUGAGAAUAUGAGCAACAGUGCCAGAAAGCCAGAAAAGGAAAAGUCUUGGAAGCAAAUGCUUCGAUCUCAUCUUCAUUCACCGUUAAGCAUUUAUUCUCUUAUUUUAGUCUGAGUAGUUCACUGUUGCUUUCAUAUCUUUUUUAAAAUUUCAUAACUGUAUUCCUUCCUUCCUUCCUUCCUUCCUUCCUUCCUUCCUUCCUUCCUUCCUUCCUUCCUUCCUUCCUUNNNNNNNNNNNNNNNNNNNNNNNNNCCUUCCUUCCAUUCCUUCCUUCCUUCCUGCCUUUCCUUUCCUUCCUCCCUUUCCUUCCUUCCUUCCUUCCUAUCCUUCCUUCCUUCCUUCCUUCCUUCCUUCCUUCCUUCCUCAUUCCUUU